ACAGUCACACAUUAGAUACCCGCGUAGUCCAGGGUGUAAACGCUGCGGGCUUGGUGUUGGGGGUCCUUAGUGGGCGCCCAGUGCCGGAGAGAAGUUGUUAAGUCUGCUACUUGGGAGUACGUCCGCAAGGAUGAAACUUAAAGGAAUUGGCGGGGGAGCACCGCAACGGGAGGAGCGUGCGGUUUAAUUGGAUUCAACACCGUAAAACUCACCAGGGAAGACUGUUACAUGAAAGCCGAGAUGAAGACUCUGCUAGAUUUUCAG
rnacentral:rRNA from 1 species